AAUUAAUUGAUUAAGCAUGGAUGUGAUUAACUUGAUAUGAUAAUACGACACUAAUGAACACGAGCAGAAGAUUUUUAAACUCACAGGAGAAGAAAUCAUCAUCAACUUCUAUGUAUCAAUGGGAGUAUUAAUCCAAUUGAGGCUGCCUGCGUGAACCACUGUUUGAAACCAUUUAGGUAUCCCUUGUAAUGUGAGGUCCUUAAACUUUCCUUGAUUUGGAUCGUAAGUAACAAGAACUCUGCUUUUGUACUC
rnacentral:misc_RNA from 1 species